rnacentral:rRNA from 1 species
CCUACGGGUGGCAGCAGUGAGGAAUAUUGGUCAAUGGACGAGAGUCUGAACCAGCCAAGUAGCGUGAAGGAUGACUGCCCUAUGGGUUGUAAACUUCUUUUAUAUGGGAAUAAAAUGUUCCACGUGUGGGAUUUUGUAUGUACCAUAUGAAUAAGGAUCGUCUAACUCCUUGCCAGCCGCCGCGGUAUGACGGGGGAUCUGAGCGGUAUCCGGAUUUAUUGGGUUUAAAGGGAGAGUAGGUGGAGUGUUAAGUCAGUUGUGAAAGUUUGCGGCUCAAACGUAAAAUUGCAGUUGAAACUGGCAGUCUUGAGUACAGUAGAAGUGGGCGGAAUGCGUGGUGUAGCGGUGAAAUGCUUAGAUAUCACGAAGAACUCCGAUUGCGAAGGCAGCUUACUGGACUGCAACUGACACUGAGGCUCGAAAGUGUGGGUAUCAAACAGGAUUAGAUACCCUUGUAGUC